rnacentral:snRNA from 1 species
AUCCUUUCUCAGAGGCAAUAUCGUAGCCUGUGAAGUUAAUCCAAGGCACGAUCACUGCUGGUUGUAAACUUUACUUGGGCAGUCAUGGGCUGGAGGUUACAGAACUGGCCUUGUGACCAGAAGGUU